rnacentral:rRNA from 1 species
AAAUUGAAGAGUUUGAUCAUGGCUCAGAUUGAACGCUGGCGGCAGGCCUAACACAUGCAAGUCGAACGGUAACAGAAAGCGGCUUGCUGCUUUGCUGACGAGUGGCGGACGGGUGAGUAAUGUCUGGGAAACUGCC